rnacentral:rRNA from 1 species
UACGUAGGGGGCAAGCGUUGUCCGGAAUCAUUGGGCGUAAAGAGCGCGUAGGCGGCCCAGUAAGUCCGCUCUGAAAGUCAGGGGCUCAACCCCUGAAUGCGGGUGGAUACUGCUGGGCUAGAGUCCGGAAGAGGCGAGUGGAAUUCCUGGUGUAGCGGUGAAAUGCGCAGAUAUCAGGAGGAACACCGAUGGCGAAGGCAGCUCGCUGGGACGGUGACUGACGCUGAGGCGCGAAAGCGUGGGGAGCAAACAGG